rnacentral:lncRNA from 1 species
AUCAUCAGGAAAUUUAGACGCUUCAUGAGGAGAAGGAGAUAAGGGACCAAGAGAAAACCACCAGCUAAGGGGGAGCUGAGUAAAGAAAAAGAAAAGAAACAGUCCAUUAUUUGUUAUGAGUGCAAGAAGUCGAGCCACUUCAGAUCAGAAUAUCCCCAACUCAAAAAAGAUCAAAAGAAGUUCAAGAAGAAAAAGAUUAUGAUGGCUACAUAGAGCGACAGUGAUGACUCCACCAC